rnacentral:rRNA from 1 species
AAGCAGGUUAAUAUUCCUGCACCUCGCGUAAGUGCGAUGGAGGGACGGAGAAGGUUAGGUGUACCAGGCGUUGGUUGUCCUGGGGAAAGGCGGUAGGUUUGGAUCUUUGGCAAAUCCGGGAUCCUUUAAGACCGAGCACCGAGACGAGCCUUUAUGGCGAAGUCACUGAUACCACGCUUCCAGGAAAAGCUCCUAAGCUUCAGCUUACGCAGACCGUACCGUAAACCGACACAGGUGGGUAGGAUGAGAAUUCUCAGGCGCUUGAGAGAACUCGGGUGAAGGAACUAGGCAACAUGGCACCGUAACUUCGGGAGAAGGUGCACCCUUUUUGGUGGCUCGUGCGAGCUAUAGCUGAAGAGGGUCGCAGUAACCAGGCCGCUGCGACUGUUUAUCAAAAACACAGCACUCUGCAAACACGAAAGUGGACGUAUAGGGUGUGACGCCUGCCCGGUGCUGGAAGGUUAAUUGAUGGGGUCAGCCGCAAGGCGAAGCUCUUGAUCGAAGCCCCAGUAAACGGCGGCCGUAACUAUAACGGUCCUAAGGUAGCGAAAUUCCUUGUCGGGUAAGUUCCGACCUGCACGAAUGGCGUAACGACAGCGGCGCUGUCUCCACCCGAGACUCAGUGAAAUUGAAAUCGCUGUGAAGAUGCAGCGUUCCCGUGGCAAGACGGAAAGACCCCGUGAACCUUUACUAUAGCUUUACACUGAACGUUGAGUUCGUCUGUGUAGGAUAGGUGGGAGGCUAUGAAACCAUGGCGCUAGCUGUGGUGGAGCCAUCCUUGAAAUACCACCCUGUCGUGCUUGACGUUCUAACCUGGGCCCAUUAUCUGGGUCGGGGACCGUGUAUGGUGGGUAGUUUGACUGGGGCGGUCUCCUCCUAAAGAGUAACGGAGGAGCUCGAAGGUACGCUCAGCGCGGUCGGACAUCGCGCACUGUGUGCAAAGGCAUAAGCGUGCUUGACUGCAAGAUCGACGGAUCAAGCAGGUAGGAAACUAGGACUUAGUGAUCCGGUGGUUCUGUAUGGAAGGGCCAUCGCUCAACGGAUAAAAGGUACUCCGGGGAUAACAGGCUGAUACCGCCCAAGAGUUCAUAUCGACGGCGGUGUUUGGCACCUCGAUGUCGGCUCAUCACAUCCUGGGGCUGUAGUCGGUCCCAAGGGUAUGGCUGUUCGCCAUUUAAAGUGGUACGCGAGCUGGGUUCAGAACGUCGUGAGACAGUUCGGUCCCUAUCUGCCAUGGGCGUUGGAGAUUUGAGAGGGGCUGCUCCUAGUACGAGAGGACCGGAGUGGACGAACCUCUGGUGUUCCGGUUGUCACGCCAGUGGCAUUGCCGGGUAGCUAUGUUCGGAAGCGAUAACCGCUGAAAGCAUCUAAGCGGGAAGCGCGCCUCAAGAUGAGAUCUCCCGGGGCACAAGCCCCCUGAAGGAACCAUGUAGACUACGUGGUUGAUAGGUCAGGUGUGUAAGUACAGCAAUGUAUUGAGCUAACUGAUACUAAUGAUCCGUGCGGCUUGACCAU